AGCGGAAUAUGAGGGCAGACUUGCAUUCCGUCAAGUUCCGUGACUUUGCGCAAAGGAUCCAACGCAGCCGCAUGUUCUACGUCAAUCGCUAGGUCGUUCUUAGGUGUGUUCAUGUCUGCCUUUGAUUUUAUU
rnacentral:lncRNA from 1 species